rnacentral:rRNA from 1 species
ACGCUGGCGGCGCGCCUAACACAUACAAGUCGAGCGAUGAACCUUCAAUUGCGUCUUCGGACAAGAGCGAAGGGGAUUAGCGGCGGACGGGUGAGUAACACGUGAGGAACCUGCCUUUGACACGGGGAUAGCCACCGGAAACGGUGAUUAAUACCCGAUGACAUCCUCCCUUCACAUGAAGGGGAGAUCAAAGCUCCGGCGGUCAAAGAUGGCCUCGCGCCUGAUUAACUAGUUGGUGAGGUAACGGCCCACCAAGGUGACGAUCAGUAGCCGGCCUGAGAGGGUGAACGGCCACAUUGGAACUGAGAAACGGUCCAAACUCCUACGGGAGGCAGCAGUGGGGAAUAUUGCACAAUGGGGGGAACCCUGAUGCAGCGACGCCGCGUGAGCGAAGAAGGAUUUCGAUUCGUAAAGCUCUGUCCCAUGGGAAGAUAAUGACGGUACCAUGGGAGGAAGCCCCGGCUAACUACGUGCCAGCAGCCGCGGUAAUACGUAGGGGGCGAGCGUUGUCCGGAAUCACUGGGCGUAAAGGGUUCGCAGGCGGUUUUAAAAGUCAGGUGUGAAAGGCGAGGGCUCAACCCUCGUAAGCACUUGAAACUGUAAGACUAGAGUCGUGGAGAGGUAAGUGGAAUUCCUAGUGUAGCGGUGAAAUGCGUAGAGAUUAGGAAGAAUACCGGUGGCGAAGGCGACUUACUGGCCACAAACUGACGCUGAGGAACGAAAGCGUGGGGAGCAAACAGGAUUAGAUACCCUGGUAGUCCACGCCGUAAACGAUGAGUGCUAGAUGUUGGGAGUCAAAUCUCGGUGUCGCAGCUAACGCAAUAAGCACUCCGCCUGGGGAGUACGUACGCAAGUAUGAAACUCAAAGGAAUUGACGGGGACCCGCACAAGCAGCGGAGCAUGUGGUUUAAUUCGAAGCAACGCGAAGAACCUUACCAAGGCUUGACAUAUACAGGGAUAAGUUAGAGAUAACUUAGUCUUUUCGGAGACUUGUAUACAGGUGGUGCAUGGUUGUCGUCAGCUCGUGUCGUGAGAUGUUGGGUUAAGUCCCGUAACGAGCGCAACCCUUGUCUUUAGUUACCAGCAAGUAAAGUUGGGGACUCUAGAGAGACUGCCGGUGAUAAACCGGAGGAAGGUGGGGAUGACGUCAAAUCAUCAUGCCCUAUAUGUCUUGGGCUACACACGUGCUACAAUGGUCUGAACAAAGUGAAGCGACCUCGUGAGAGCAAGCGAAUCACAGAAAACAGAUCUCAGUUCGGAUUGUAGGCUGCAACUCGCCUACAUGAAGUCGGAGUUGCUAGUAAUCGUGGAUCAGAAUGCCACGGUGAAUGCGUUCCCGGGUCUUGUACACACCGCCCGUCACACCAUGGGAGUUGGCAAUACCCGAAGUCGUCGAGCUAACCGAAAGGAGGCAGACGCCGAAGGUAGGGUCAGUAACUGGGG